rnacentral:lncRNA from 1 species
GCUGAUGCAAGGCCCCACUGGGAGGAGCACCCUCACAAGGAUGUUACUGAGGGGUGAAGCUGAACAGGAGUUCACGGACCCAAAGAAAUCUGCACUUAGAUACAGAUUCAGGGUCCCAAAGUGUGGAAAGCCACAUGGGUGUGGCUGUUGGCUCUUCUCAGAGACAGCCAGCAAGCUUGUGGAUGACAGUCUGAGCUUACGGCCUCCCUCCCACAGGACAGGGUGUUGGUGGUAGACAGCCCCCUCUGCUGGCAAGAGUGCGUGUGUAAGAGUGCGCACGUAGACUGAAUGCAGACAUUCGAGUCGAUGACAGACAGAAGAUGAGGCAGAUCCCCCAAGUGAUGUCACAUCCAAGACAAAAGAUGGGCAAGAGGACCAUGGGCUCAUUCCUGACUGGGGUGCUGGCUGGACCCGAAAACCAGGGAUGCCUGGACUUCAGGGACUCAUGGAGUUUGGGUUACAAGGAGGAGGACCCUGCCUGGCACAAUAGCAUGGGUGGCUGCCCACCCCCUCAGAACACCAGCCUCUGCAAACUUCAUCUUUAUCUGCAUCCAUUAAACUGUGUCUUUGGCAGUGGAGCAGCUCCGUCUGGUGACAGGACCUGUCGGUGGUUCGGUGGAACUCAGUGGGACUACCACGUCACCCAGCCCCAGUCCCUUCCGGCUGACGACUCUUCCUUGCCGUCCAUCACGCCAGCACAUUCCUCUCUAAGCAGCACUGGCACUGAGCAGUCCUGUGAGUGUGCAUGUCCUCCAUGCUGGGAUUAG